UUUAUGGAGAGUUUGAUCCUGGCUCAGGAUGAACGCUGGCGGCGUGCCUAAUACAUGCAAGUCGAGCGAACGGACGAGAAGCUUGCUUCUCUGAUGUUAGCGGCGGACGGGUGAGUAACACGUGGAUAACCUACCUAUAAGACUGGGAUAACUUCGGGAAACCGGAGCUAAUACCGGAUAAUAUUUUGAACCGCAUGGUUCAAAAGUGAAAGAUGGUCUUGCUGUCACUUAUAGAUGGAUCCGCGCUGCAUUAGCUAGUUGGUAAGGUAACGGCUUACCAAGGCAACGAUGCAUAGCCGACCUGAGAGGGUGAUCGGCCACACUGGAACUGAGACACGGUCCAGACUCCUACGGGAGGCAGCAGUAGGGAAUCUUCCGCAAUGGGCGAAAGCCUGACGGAGCAACGCCGCGUGAGUGAUGAAGGUCUUCGGAU
rnacentral:rRNA from 1 species